UCCUGCUAUAUCUAUAUGUGAUUAGUAACUGUAGAAUCUGAUGAUGUCCUCUCCCAUGUCUCUAUCAAUGCAUCGUGCCGUGUUAGCUGAUAAAAUGAUUUCUUUCUUAUCGUUUCUAUUGGAUGCUUAACUGGUGCUGCGUUGGAAGCUUAUUCCUGUUUUUGUUGUGAUACUUCUCCAUGUCAGAGGGCAUCAGUCGAUUGCACCGGAACCCAAUUGGGUUACACAAAUCUUGGGCAUGAAGUUUUUUGUAACAGAAUUAUGGAAGUUGAGCGCGCAUUUUGUUCUAUCUUGUGUCAAGUACUUAAUCCAUGCAUUGCUGAUGCUACUCUGAAGUCCUUGUUUGCGCAUCAACUCUUCUUCAGCUUUUCAUGUAGCCAGGGUGGAUUUAUGGUUUACUUGGAUGCCAUACUAAGUUCCUCCCUACUAAUGUCAUUGAGUUUGCAGAAACAAAUAAAUAGCAACUUAAUGUUGGACUCUAGGUUUUGUGCUAUUGAAAUGUUUUUUUUCCUUUAUAUUUAAAAAAAAAUCAAUUAUCAUGGCCCUGCAAUGGCUUAUUCUGGUUAAACUAUUGACUUUGCAGGUAUAACGAAUCAAGAGGACUUUGUAGCAAUUAUCUUGAUUUAGCCAGAUUAAACUUUAGCCUAACAUCUUGAGGUAACCAGAGUACAACAGGACUGACCACUAGUCAAGACAUGCCCCUUGUUUGAGAUUAUAAUCGGCUGGACAAAUUCGAGGGCGCCAAAUUCCAGCAACGUGCAAGCAAAGAGAUUUUUACGCAAGCGUCCAGAGACGGGGGAUGGAUUUCUCCGCCGAGGACUGGAAUCUUGGGACGUCUCGCCAGAAUAAUCGGCGAGGCAUGGGAUCCACUCGGGAUCCGAGCGCCGAGGUAGUGCCACUUUUGCCGUGGAUUCAUCGACGCAUGGAUUACAUUUCUCCGAGAACAUCCGCCAGGGCCUUAAACCCAUACUUUGGUGUAACACUAUCUGGAUUAGGGAUGUAAUCUAGCUAAAUCGAGUCGAGUAGUUAGAGGCUCAAACUCGACUCGAUUCGAAAUACUCGAGCUCGAAACUUGAUUUAUGAUCGAGGAAAUUUUAAUA